UACGUAGGGGGCAAGCGUUAUCCGGAAUUACUGGGUGUAAAGGGUGAGUAGGCGGCAUGGUAAGCCAGAUGUGAAAGCCUUGGGCUUAACCCGAGGAUUGCAUUUGGAACUAUCAAGCUAGAGUACAGGAGAGGAAAGCGGAAUUCCUAGUGUAGCGGUGAAAUGCGUAGAUAUUAGGAAGAACACCAGUGGCGAAGGCGGCUUUCUGGACUGAAACUGACGUUGAGGCUCGAAAGCGUGGGGAGCAAACAGG
rnacentral:rRNA from 1 species